rnacentral:rRNA from 1 species
UACGUAGGGGGCAAGCGUUGUCCGGAAUCAUUGGGCGUAAAGCGUGCGUAGACGGUUAUGUAAGUCAGAUGUGAAAGCCCCGGGCUCAACCUGGGAAUUGCAUUUGAGACUGCAUAGCUAGGGUGCGGAAGAGGAGAAUGGAAUUCCUGGUGUAGCGGUGAAAUGCGCAGAUAUCAGGAAGAACACCCGUGGCGAAGGCGGGUCUCUGGGCAGUAACUGACGCUGAGGAGCGAAAGCGUGGGGAGCGAACAGG